GAUGAAGAACGCAGCGAAAUGCGAUAAGUAAUGUGAAUUGCAGAAUUCAGUGAAUCAUCGAAUCUUUGAACGCACAUUGCGCCCCUUGGUAUUCCGAGGGGCAUGCCUGUUCGAGCGUCAUUAUAACCCCUCAAGCUCAGCUUGGUGUUGGGGCCUGCCGCACGGGCAGCCCUUAAAAUCAGUGGCGGUGCCAUCUGGCUCUAAGCGUAGUAAUUCUUCUCGCUAUAGAGUCCCGGUGGAUGCUUGCCAUUAACCCCCAAUUUUCUAUGGUUGACCUCGGAUCAGGUAGGGAUACCCGCUGAACUUAAGAAUAUCAAUAAGCGGAGGA
rnacentral:misc_RNA from 1 species